GUACCAACAGUCUGUGGCUGCGACGGGUUCUAGCGGUUUCACCUGGGCCUGGGAUCUGGUUUCUGGACUUCUGCUGAGCCAACGUGAGGAUUCCCACCGUUUAGGAAGACCAAUCUGUGAGGAGUUUGUUUCUGGACAGGAUUAUUAAGGAGAGAAGAUGUCUUUAAAGCGCCGACUGGUCUCCAUGUUUCUGUGCUGUGUUUACUGUGUGGCCUCACUCUUCUGCCUCCACCCAAACCGCAGCAAUAUUAUCUCAGUGGGAGCGCGGAGUUUGUCGACCGUCUUCCAACAACUUUACCAGCGUGUCAUCCGAAUGCUGAGAACCACACUGUGACUUCACACCACUUCCUGUGUUCGAAAGAGCAACCCUGAACCUCCUAUGUCACUGUGACCGUGACCGAGCAUGCCUCCCAGCAGAGCAAGAACAAAUAAA